AGGCAGCAGUGAGGAAUAUUGCACAAUGGACGGAAGUCUGAUGCAGCAACGCCGUGUGCGGGAUGGAGGCCUUCGGGUUGUAAACCGCUUUCGACCGCGACGAAUUGUGACGGUAGUGGUUAAAGAAGCACCGGCUAACUACGUGCCAGCAGCCGCGGUGAUACGUAGGGUGCGAGCGUUGUCCGGAUUUAUUGGGCGUAAAGAGCUCGUAGGUGGUUUGUUGCGUCGGGAGUGAAAACGCAUGGCUUAACCGUGUGCUUGCUUUCGAUACGGGCAGACUUGAGGAAGGUAGGGGAGAACGGAAUUCCUGGUGGAGCGGUGGAAUGCGCAGAUAUCAGGAGGAACACCGGUGGCGAAGGCGGUUCUCUGGACCUUUCCUGACGCUGAGGAGCGAAAGCGUGGGGAGCGAACAGGAUUAGAUACCCCGGUAG
rnacentral:rRNA from 1 species